rnacentral:lncRNA from 1 species
UUGAAAGGGGAAACGAUGAGUACACCUGGAGACAUGUACUUUGCAAGCGGAAGGAAUUAUAUGCAUAACAUGCAGGCUUAGAGCAAGGAAGGAUUUAUUUGGUGGACUGCGAAGCUCAAGUUUAGUUGGAAAAGUUUUAAUUAAGCACCUAGAAAGAUUGUUAAUGUAAUGCUUCCCAACAAAAAUCAAUUUAAGGUUAGCCCUUUAAUAACUAAACCCGAACCACAGAUAUCGUUUUGUGAUCCACCCAAACCAGCUAACCAUGAGUUCAGGUCGCUGUGGACCGUGAGCACGGCUGUUAUAACAGUUUUAACACUCUGCAGAGGUGGUACAACUUUACAAAUGAGUUGUGAUUUCCCUUUUUGCUGGGUUGUAUGGACUCUUAAACACUUCUGAGGUGAGUUGGCGGGAAUCACUACGAGGCUGUUCCAAAGAGUCUUCCAGUCCAAAGAUUGAUGAGCUAAGGUUUCAACACAUGGCGAACCCCGAGAACAACCCCUCCCCCCUCUUGCCCAACGCCAUAGGUACUAUUCCCUUCCCUUGCGUUUCCACCAAUGGCUCUUACAAACUUGGAGAUACUCUCUCCAUCGAUUCCACCGAUUAGUCCUUAAGCUCAACUCAACCAACACCAGCUUAAACAUUGCACAACAACAUCAAACAUUGUUUCUCAUUUGCCUGAGUCACCUAGGGGUUCCAUGUUGCUAAAAUAUUACCAUCCCACAUUGCAUAUUUCAUUAACCAAGAUUAAAUAAGAACCAACCAUCCUGGCUACCUUCCACAUUUCAUAUUGCACUUUACAUUCCAUAUUUACCUUUUCUAGAAUCGCCAUGUGUAAUUUAUAGGAUUGGAACCUAGGGUGCAAAACUCUUUUGCGGUAGAGAUAGCAACACACAGAAAAAUCUAGUUGACAGAACUGGAAUGGGU